GCAGAAGUACCCAAGAGGCCGAAGGGGCUCCCCUGCUAAGGGAGUAGGGUGUCUAAUAAACGCCGCGAGGGUUCAAAUCCCUCCUUCUGCGCCA
rnacentral:tRNA from 1 species